rnacentral:pre_miRNA from 1 species
UAUAGAUGACCCUGUAGACUUUUAGACAUAUGUUUGACCAUUCGUUUUAUAAAAUUUUAUGUAAUUACAAUUUAUUUUAUUGUAAGUUGUUUUAUCACUAAAAAUACUUUAAGCAUGAUUUAUAUCUUACGUAUUUGCAAAAAAAAUUUGAAUAAGACGAAUGGUUAAACAUGCAUUCAAAAGUCAACGGCGUCAUCUAUU